rnacentral:rRNA from 1 species
AUUGAACGCUGGCGGCAUGCCUUACACAUGCAAGUCGAACGGCAACACGGGAGCAAUCCUGGUGGCGAGUGGCGAACGGGUGAGUAACAUAUCGGAACGUACCCAGUCGUGGGGGAUAACGUAGCGAAAGUUGCGCUAAUACUGCAUACGAUCUUUGGAUGAAAGCGGGGGAUCGCAAGACCUCGCGCGAUUGGAGCGGCCGAUAUCAGAUUAGGUAGUUGGUGAGGUAAGGGCUCACCAAGCCGACGAUCUGUAGCUGGUCUGAGAGGACGACCAGCCACACUGGGACUGAGACACGGCCCAGACUCCUACGGGAGGCAGCAGUGGGGAAUUUUGGACAAUGGGCGCAAGCCUGAUCCAGCAAUGCCGCGUGCAGGACGAAGGCCUUCGGGUUGUAAACUGCUUUUGUACGGAACGAAACGGCCUUUUCUAAUACAAGAGGCUAAUGACGGUACCGUAAGAAUAAGCACCGGCUAACUACGUGCCAGCCGCCGCCGUAAUAC